rfam:Exidia glandulosa HHB12029 unplaced genomic scaffold EXIGLscaffold_197, whole genome shotgun sequence.
GGCCUGCUGGCGCAAUUGGUUAGCGCGUCGAGCUAAUAACUCGAAGGUUGGCGGUUCAAGCCCGCCGUGGGCCA